AUGGAUCUGGACACAGAGAAUCGUCUAGCUUCAUUACUCCUUGAAGAAGCACGGAGAUUACAGUCAGAGGCUGACAGGGAAGGUGUUCAUGCAUAUCUGCAAAAGCCCAAUGUUAGGCAUCGCCCAAACUCCCGGUUCCUCACAGCCACAGUUCGUGGAGUUCAACAAGAUGGCCUGAAGGCUACGUCGCCUAGCUCGAAUGCCAUCCUGUCGCCCAGCAAGAUCAAGCUCAGCAGCCUCCGAUUAAAGCAAACGUUACGAGCCGUGGCUCACCAGCAGUCUCCAACGGAAGUAACAAUGACUCGCACGCCCCAUGGACGUCUGCCGUUUUCCUGCCCCACAGAACAUGACACCAGCAUACGUAUGCCAAACAAAAGCACAUUUAAUACCGCUCAGUAUUUCCCAGCAAACCGUGUUGUGGAGGUUGAUGAAAUGUGGCGUGCCAGGGAGAAGGAACUUGAACUUGAGUCUAAGCUGAAAAGAAGAAAUAAAGAGCGUGGUGACUCUAGAGGGGAGAAACGCAAAGGUGACUCGAGAAAUAUGAGUUCCAGCUCAAAGAUUGAAGAAGGGACUGCUUAUAAUAGUUCUUACUCAGACCAGGAUGAUGGUCUAGGGGAUGAUGAAGUUGAAAAGUUUCUGCAUUCAAGGGUAAAGCGAGGAAGAGGUGCCGUUGGCUCUAGGAUGGAUGAACCUGGUCCAUACCUAAAGGAUUCAUCGCAUUGUCGAGACAAAGAACCUAGCCCGGAUAUACGUUUGGAAGAAAAAUGGGAACGCCGAGUGCAAGGUCCGGAGAGGCCACUGUUUUUGAGAUCCAAGUCUCUUGAUGAUUGUUGGCAUGGGGAAACAUUGGAUGAUAAUAAGCCAUCUAGCUCUUCUGAAGCACACAGGAAGAAGGAAAAUAAAAAGGAGAGGAGAUCGGAGAAAAAAGAGAGAAAAGACAAGAAGAAGGCCAAGCAUCGCCACCGCCACCACCAUCACAAAAGCCGAAGAAGGGAGUGA
rnacentral:rRNA from 1 species